rnacentral:snoRNA from 1 species
GAAUAUGUGAUGACAAUUAAUUCAAUUGAUAUCACAUGAUAUGUAAUUUAUUGAGCUUUUUAACACUGACAUUAA